UACGAAGGGGGCUAGCGUUGCUCGGAAUCACUGGGCGUAAAGGGUGCGUAGGCGGGUCUUUUAAGUCAGGGGUGAAAUCCUGGAGCUCAACUCCAGAACUGCCUUUGAUACUGAAGAUCUUGAGUUCGGGAGAGGUGAGUGGAACUGCGAGUGUAGAGGUGAAAUUCGUAGAUAUUCGCAAGAACACCAGUGGCGAAGGCGGACUCACUGGCCCGAGUACGUGAC
rnacentral:rRNA from 1 species